AAUAAUUUAUUUGAUGGUUUCUUACUACAUGGAUGACUGUAGUAAUUCUAGAGCUAAUACAUGCGUAAAGUCCCGACUCUCGCGGGGAGGGAUGUAUUUAUUAGAUAAAAAACCAAUGCGGGCUCUGCCCGGUUUUGUGGUGAAUCAUAGUAACUUUUCGAAUCGCAUGGCUUCACGCCGGCGAUAGUUCAUUCAAAUUUUUGCCCUAUCAGCUUUCGACGGUAGUGUAGUGGACUACCGUGGCGUUAACGGGUAACGGAGAAUUAGGGUUCGAUUCCGGAGAGGGAGCCUGAGAAACGGCUACCACA
rnacentral:rRNA from 1 species